rnacentral:rRNA from 1 species
GACGAACGCUGGCGGCGUGCCUAAUACAUGCAAGUAGAACGCAGUUGCGAACGGGUGAGUAACGCGUAGGUAACUGCCUGGUAGCGGGGGAUAACUAUUGGAAACGAUAGCUAAUACCGCAUACUACCAGAUGGACCUGCGUUGUAUUAGCUAGUUGGUGGGGUAACGGCUCACCAAGGCAACGAUACAUAGCCGACCGGAGAGGGUGAUCGGCCACACUGGGACUGAGACACGGCCCAGACUCCUACGGGAGGCAGCAGUGGGGAAUCUUCGGCAAUGGGGGGAGCCCUGACCGAGCAACGCCGCGUGGGUGAAGAAGGCCUUCGGGUUGUAAAGGACUUUUGUUAGGGAGGCGGUACCUAAAGAAUAAGCGCCGGCUAACUACGUGCCAGCAGCCGCGGUAAUAC